GGCGAGAUGGCCGAGUGGUUAAGGCGACAGACUAGAAUCACCACGAGUCAUCUGUUGGGUUCGCCCGCGUAGGUUCAAAUCCUGCUCUCGUCG